UUUUCUUGUUCCCAGGAGGUGAUCAGAGUUAGGAAUUACACUUACUGACCUGGACCUCGCGUUUUUGCGGAGACGCGGAAACAAGAUGUGUGCAGUCCGUCUGUCCAAUGAUUAGCCAGCCGACCUGGAGAGGGCCCUGGAAGGUGCCCAAAGGCAAGUCCGGUUCCGUCCCUCCUAGGGUCCAGGACAGCCCGCGCCGCGCGGGCCGGCAGCCGGAGCAGUCAGAGCGGCUGGGCGGUUGGCGCUGCCGGGUCUGCUGCCGACCUCUCAGGCCAAGCGCGCCUGGGCACCGCACUCACUCGCGGGGUGGGCGGGUGAAGGUGGGAGGAUCAGAGAUGGGAGCGUGGGGAGGGGGGCAAACCCCACCCUUAAACACAAGAAAACAGGUGCAGAGGCUGCGGGCGAUGGUCCUGCAGGGGAGGGGACUGGAGGAGAAGUUUUGGUGGCGAGGGAGCAGGAACAGUGUCCAGGGUCUCUCAGCCGCCUCCCGGGCUUGCAAGCCCGCUCAGCCAGACCUUACCCAGAGGGGCGCCCCCUCGCGGGUCCCCAGCCACCACCUGCAGCUGCUGCUGUCACCUGCUGUGCCACCCCCAAGUUUGAUACUCUGGGCGUUUGCGCCACCCCUACCUCCCUUCCCUUCCACGAAUCUCUCCCUUUGCUCUCUAACCCCCAGUUCCGCAAGAGAUGGCCCGGCGAAGACAGACCUCCUGGACUUGAGGCCGACUUCACCAAAUCCGCCCCGGGAAAAGGCGAGGGCAAAGGCGGGGCGGACAGACCCAGCUGCGGCUGAGGGACUGAGGUCCCUAGCAAGGCAGGAGCAGAGAUGGGGAGCUGGAUCCGCGCAGAACCCCGGAAAAGCGCCAGCAGGAUUGCACCGAGAACAAAUCCUCCGCACCCUCGCCCAGGGCUGGGGCGCAGUGCGCUGGUGCUCCUCUAGCUGGGCGGUCCCUGUGCUCCAAACAAGAAGGUAAAGCGAGUUCAGAUCCUGCUGCCCAUGAUCAGCAAUUUCCCUAACAGGUGUCUGCAGACAGUUUAUAAGUUGAGUAGUGCAGAUUCAGACUCGAUAGCCAGGAACCUGUGUAGUGAGCUCUGGCUCAGGUUAAAAGCUAGGAUAGGGAUAGGAUAGGAAAGCUAUGGGACACGAAUAAAACACAAUCUCUCUCUCUCCAGAUAGCUGACUUCCGGAUCCUUCACUCUUUGAUCCUGACCCAAGCCACUCGUGCCACUAGGAGCGCAUGCCUAUGGAAUACUCGCUCCUGUCUCCUUGUGGUGAAGCCUUCCGCUAAUGCCCAGAGCCUCCCAGGCUGGAUUAGUGGGUAGGAGCAAAACAGGAUAGUGGAGACAAUCAGCAGAGCAGCAGCGUCUAUUUCCUCGGGAUUCCUCCCAGGAACCCUAUUCGAAGCCAUUCCUUCUAAAAGUUUGCAGCCAGUCUCUCUUUCCUUUGUUGGUUUUAAGAGGAGGCAGUAGAGCUACCUACAUACAAAAACGAAAGCCUGAUACUGGUAACCUAAGUCUUUACUUAACCAUCCUCUUCGGAGGCUUUGCACACAUUACUUUUCCUCUAUGCAUUGUCAUUUCUGAAAUAAGGAUGGUCAUACUGGUGUGCUUGGAAUUUCUCUGAAAUAUACUCCUAAAAGAUUAGAUUAAGAUUAGAUUCCGCUACUCUAAAAUGAAAAAAUAUAUUUAUCUGUUUAAAAAGGUAAUACAUAUUCUCCAAGAUGUUAAUUAAAGGCUUCUCUCAAAUGGAUUGGAUUUUCAGUUCCUUCAGGGUUUUCCACACCCUAAUAGUAUUGCAUUUGUAAGGCAUUUUUACAGUGUAACCUGAAAUUAAUCUUCAGUUAAUAUAGAAUUAUGCCCACAGGAGUAUUGGAAUUCUUUAUAAAACAAAGCAGCCUGGGCUUUUCAAAUACCUAGAAACAAAGGUAAACAGAAAUGGAAAUGUUUAACAUGUUCUACACAGUUCCACUUAAAGUCUUUUAGUAGUUGUUUUUGUUUUGUUUUGUUUUGUUUGUUUUUUCCUUAAGAAAGUACUCUUUGCCCAAAUAUGUGUUAUGUGUGACAGGUUCCAUUCUUCUCAAUAUAUCUGCAUUGGUGAAGAAUGAACCAUAUACCAAUAAGUUAUAACUUUAAAAGAGUAGAAAUGGAUUUAAACAAUGACCACAAAAACAAAUCAAAUAUCCAGCAAAACAGAUGAGUGUUGUCUUUUAGGGCAAUUGCUUUGGAAAAUUCAACUGAUUUCACUGACAUUGAUUGCACAAAACACAUUUUAUCUCCUUUGAAAUUGCCUUUCAGAAGCGUAUUAGCAGCCAUAACCAACUAUUUGCCUCACUCUCUUAUAGACGUGUGUUUGUCUUAGUAGAUUCAUAUAGUUCCACAGACAUCUAGUCAGCAACCUCAAAAGAGUAAAUGGUCUCUAUGAUUAAUGUCCUUUAAUAAAGUUCAGAAUUGGAUGAGAAACUGAUAAACUGAAAUGAAAGUCACUUCAUAGUGUAUCAUAUUAUCAAGGAGAGCUGUGGGAAUUAGCUUAUGACACUUUUGUGCAUCACAGUCUAAUUCAUAUCCUUAAAUGUGCAUACAUAUCCUGUGUAUUGUAGUAACAAUGAACCACUCUGAUGAAUGUCCAUAAACCCAGUUGUGACACUGACAGGAGUUUGGGAGUUUGUGGAAGUGGUGGUGAAAUAUCGAUUAAUCCAAAUUGAAAUAGGACAAGAUUAUUGAUGCUUGAUUUCUUUUGUAUCAAAUCAUUUAGUUGCUCAGGAAAUUCUAACCAGAAUAUGUGCUGUGACUGCUCUUCAAAUAGACAACAGACUCAAACUCAGAUGCCUGCAUGGUUAGGGCCAAUGACAUAAAUGGACCAGCAUGCUAGGUUGUAGGAGAGAGUGGAAAAUGUUGAUUGCCAUAACACCUUGAAGAGCACAAAAGCACAUGCUAUAGCUAAAUGGGGAGAUUGCUUCUCAGAUUACACUCAGCUGGCCUGCAAAAAUCUUGAUUCAGUAUUCUCAGAUACGAUUUUUAAGAGAAGCAAAAUCCAUAUUGUUAAAAAUCUUCUGAAUUUUAAAUAAACCAAAUUAAUUUUUAAAAAUCCAAAACUCCUAGUGGACAGGCCAAAAUAAAUAAGAAAUCAUAGAUAGAUAGAUAGAUAGAUAGAUAGAUAGAUAGAUAGAUAGAUGAUAGAUAGAUAGAUAGAUAGAUAGAUAGAUAGAUAGAUAGAUAGCAGCCUGACUCAUCAUGGGCCUCCAAUAUUGUAACCUGUUACAUUAAUAUUUGAUGUCUGACAAAUCUCCUUAAAUAUUUAAAACAUAGUUCUACUACCAUUUCCCCUACCCCAUAGACCAUUUCUCAAUGCACAGAAAUACAAAAGGAAUACAGCCAAAGAUUAGUUGCCAAAUAAGUAAUUUUCUUUUCCAUUUCUGGUUGAAUAGAUAUUCCCAAGGAGACUCUGAAGUAAGAGAUUUGUUGAAUAACUGAACAAUCCAAAUAUUUUAGAUAGCUAGAUGAAAUUUCAGAAAAGCUCUCCAUUAAAAAAGUUCAAUAAUAUCAGUAUUGAGGACCACUUGUGAUACAUACUUAUUAGAUAAAGAAAAUCAUGAUACAGAUUUCCAUCAUUGUAAUUUCAUUUUAACAGCAAAGAUGCUUCCCCCAU
rnacentral:lncRNA from 1 species